rnacentral:rRNA from 1 species
UACGUAGGCAGCAAGCGUUGUUCGGAAUUACUGGGCGUAAAGAGUGUGUAGGCGGUGCUCUAAGUUCGGUGUGAAAUCUCCCGGCUCAACUGGGAGGGUGCGCCGGAAACUGGGGUGCUGGAGCGCGGGAGAGGAAAGCGGAAUUCCUGGUGUAGCGGUGAAAUGCGCAGAUAUCAGGAAGAACACCCGUGGCUAAGGCGGCUCUCUAGUACGGUACUGACGCUGAGACGCGAAAGCGUGGGGAGCGAACAGG